rnacentral:rRNA from 1 species
AGUUAUAUGCUUGUCUCAAAGAUUAAGCCAUGCAUGUCUAAGUACAAGCAAAAAUAAAGUGAAACCGCAAAAGGCUCAUUAUAUCAGUUAUGGUUCCUUAGAUCGUAUCCACAAUUACUUGGAUAACUGUGGUAAUUCUAGAGCUAAUACAUGCAUUUAAAGAGAGAACAGUAAAAUGUAAUCUCUGCUUUUAUUAGAUUUAAACCAAUGGGAAGUGUUUCACUUUCAAUUAAACUGGUUGAACUCUGGAUAAUUUGUUGAUCGCAUGGUCUCGUACCGGCGACGGAUCUUUCAAAUGUCUGCCCUAUCAACUAUUGAAGGUAGUGUCUUGGACUACCUUGGUUGCAACGGGUAACGGGGAAUCAGGGUUCGAUUCCGGAGAGGGAGCCUGAGAAACGGCUACCACAUCUAAGGAAGGCAGCAGGCGCGUAAAUUACCCACUCCCAGCACGGGGAGGUAGUGACGAAAAAUAACAAUACAAGACUCACAUCCGAGGCCUUGUAAUUGGAAUGAGUACACUUUAAAUCCUUACACAAAGGUCCAUUGGAGGGCAAGUCUGGUGCCAGCAGCCGCGGUAAUUCCAGCUCCAAUAGCGUAUAUUAAAGUUGUUGCGGUUAAAACGUUCGUAGUUGAACCUGUGUUCCGCACGGGCAGUACCUAGGACUAGGUAACUAGGACGGUACCUGUCUUAUCUUUCUAGUUUCAUUCGUGGAAUUGGGAAAAGUGCGUGAGCGUAUUAUCGGCGUGUCUCUUUGAGUCACAUAAGCCCACUUCAGUCCUCUUAAUCGAGUGCUGGUUUGGGCCGAUACAAAUUACUUUGAACAAAUUAGAGUGCUUAAAGCAGGCUUGUAAUGCCUGAAUAUUUUGUGCAUGGAAUAAUGAAAUAGGACAUCUGUUCUACUUUCAUUGGUUUUUUAGACCAAGAUGUAAUGAUUAAUGGAAGCAGUUGGGGGCAUUAGUAUUACAACGCGAGAGGUGAAAUUCUUAGACCGUUGUAAGACUGACUAAAGCGAAAGCAUUUGCCAAAGAUGUUUUCAUUUAAUCAAGAACGAAAGUUAGAGGUUCGAAGGCGAUC